rnacentral:rRNA from 1 species
UACGAAGGGGGCUAGCGUUGCUCGGAAUCACUGGGCGUAAAGGGCGCGUAGGCGGCCGAUUAAGUCGGGGGUGAAAGCCUGUGGCUCAACCACAGAAUUGCCUUCGAUACUGAUUGGCUUGAGACCGGAAGAGGUCAGUGGAACUGCGAGUGUAGAGGUGAAAUUCGUAGAUAUUCGCAAGAACACCAGUGGCGAAGGCGGCUGACUGGUCCGGUUCUGACGCUGAGGCGCGAAAGCGUGGGGAGCAAACAGG